rnacentral:rRNA from 1 species
CGGAGUGAUCUACCCAUGGCCAGGUUGAAGCGCAGGUAAGACUGCGUGGAGGACCGAACCCACUUAGGUUGAAAACUGAGGGGAUGAGCUGUGGGUAGGGGUGAAAGGCCAAUCAAACUCCGUGAUAGCUGGUUCUCCCCGAAAUGCAUUUAGGUGCAGCGUCACGUGUUUCUUACCGGAGGUAGAGCUACUGGAUAGCCGAUGGGCCCCACCAGGUUACUGACGUUAGCCAAACUCCGAAUGCCGGUAAGUGAGAGCGUGGCAGUGAGACUGCGGGGGAUAAGCUCCGUAGUCGAGAGGGAAACAGCCCAGAUCACCAGCUAAGGUCCCUAAGCGUGUGCUAAGUGGGAAAGGAUGUGGAGUUGCAUUGACAACCAGGAGGUUGGCUUAGAAGCAGCCACCCUUUAAAGAGUGCGUAAUAGCUCACUGGUCAAGUGAUUCCGCGCCGACAAUGUAGCGGGG